rnacentral:rRNA from 1 species
AGACAUUAAAAUUAUUUAUUUAUAUAUAUAUAUAUAUAUAUAUAUAUAUUAUUAAUUUAAAAAUUUAUUUUAAUAAAAAUAUUUUUAUCAAAAAAUGUUAUAGUAUUUUCUAAAGAAAAAAUUUUAAAAAUUAUAGUUUAUUAGUAUUGUGAAAGAUUUUUGAAAAAGAUUAAAAAAUUGAAUUUUUAAAAAGUAAAUUUAAUUUAUUGUACCUUGUGUAUCAGGGUUUAUUAAUUAAAUAUUAUUUAUUAUAAUUUUCUCGAAUUUAAAAGAUCUAUAUUUAUAUAAUUUUUAUUGUAGAAAAAAUAUUUUUAAUAUAAAUAUAGUAAUGAAAUGUUAUUCGUUUUUAAAGAUAUCUAGUUUUUUAAUAAAUGAAUUUAAUUCAGAUAUUAUUUAAUAAAAAAUUAAUUUAUUUAUUUUUUUAUAUUAAUAUUAAUAUUUUAUGGGAUAAGCUUUAGAAUAUAAUUUUAUAAUUUAUUAAAAUUAAAUUAUUUUUAUAGGCUUAGAAAUAGCUUUUAUUUUGAAAAUGUUAUAAUUUUAAUAAAAUUAUAAGUUAGAUUUUUUUUAAAUUUAAAAAUUUAUUAAAAUAUAUUAUUAAAUUUUUUUUUAAUAGUAAUAAUGAUAAAAUUAGUAAAUGAAUAAUGUUAAUAUAAUUUAUAAAUUGAAAGGUUAAAUUUAGGAAUUCGGCAAAAUUUAUACUCACCUGUUUAACAAAAACAUGUCUUUUUGAUUAUAAUUUAAAGUCUGAUCUGCUCUAUGAAUUAAUUUUUAAAUGGCCGCAGUAUUUUGACUGUGCAAAGGUAGCAUAAUAAUUAGUCUUUUAAUUAAGGGCUGGAAUGAAUGAUUUGAUGAAGUAUAAACUGUCUUUUUUUAAUUAUUAAUUUAAUUUAAUUUUUAAGUUAAAAAGCUUAAAUUUUUUUAAAGGACGAGAAGACCCUAUAGAGUUUUAUAUUUUUUAAAAUUUAAAAAUUUAAAUUAUUUAAAAAUUUUAGUAAAUAUUUUGUUGGGGCGAUAGGAAAAUUUAAUAAACUUUUUUAAAAAAAUAAACAUUGAUAUAUGAAUUUUUGAUCCUUAUUUUAAGAUUAUUAGAUUAAAUUACCUUAGGGAUAACAGCGUUAUUUUUUUUAGAGUUCUUAUCAAUAAAAGAGAUUGCGACCUCGAUGUUGGAUUAAAAUUUAUUUUAGGUGCAGAAGCUUAAAUAUUAGGUCUGUUCGACCUUUAAAAUUUUACAUGAUCUGAGUUCAAACCGGUGUAAGCCAGGUUGGUUUCUAUCCUUAAAUUAUUAAAAAUUUUUAGUACGAAAGGACCAAAAUUUUAAAUAAAUUAUUUUUAAAAAUGAAUAUUAUUAAUUUAUAAAA